rnacentral:sRNA from 1 species
GAGCUAUCGAUUGAACAAAUCACUUUAUUACUUCAAAAGAUAGUGAAUUACAAUGUAAAUGUAGUGUUUCGUAUUAAACAUGAAUAUAAGGAAUUGUUAACGAGUGCUGAAAGAGGCAAGAUAGAAAAGCUAGUAGCUACAAUUUUUAAUAUGACUUUUGAGAGUAAUAGAUGUAAGAUUGCAUUUUUA